CCUACGGGUGGCAGCAGUGGGGAAUAUUGGACAAUGGGGGCAACCCUGAUCCAGCCAUGCCGCGUGAGUGAUGAAGGCCUUAGGGUUGUAAAGCUCUUUUAGCAGGGAAGCGGUACCUGCAGAAAAAGCCCCGGCUAACUUCGUGCCAGCAGCCGCGGUAAUACGAAGGGGGCUAGCGUUGCUCGGAAUCACUGGGCGUAAAGCGCACGUAGGCGGCUUUCUAAGUCAGGGGUGAAAUCCUGGAGCUCAACUCCAGAACUGCCUUUGAUACUGGAAAGCUUGAGUUCGGGAGAGGUGAGUGGAACUGCGAGUGUAGAGGUGAAAUUCGUAGAUAUUCGCAAGAACACCAGUGGCGAAGGCGGCUCACUGGCCCGUCUGACGCUGAGGUGCGAAAGCGUGGGGAGCAAACAGGAUUAGAUACCCUUGUAGUC
rnacentral:rRNA from 1 species